UUUCUUGGAUGGUGGGAAGAUGUAGGCGCUCACGUUGUCACUUCACGUUCACUCGGAGUCUUCAGUGCUAAGACAGUCACCAGGAAAUGCUUCCAAAAGAUAUGGUCUUCAGAAUUUUCUUCCUGUGUCAAACUGGCAUUGGGAUUCUGGGGAACUCCCUGGUGCUCUCGUGUCUACAUAGUUAUUCUCUUGUGCAGGCACCAGAAAAAAUUAUAGGGAAUGCUCAAGAGCAAGCAUAUCCAGAAAUGAUCUCCAGAAACAAGAGCCAUACAAGCUAUCCUUUGCC